AAGUCGUAACAAGGUUUCCGUAGGUGAACCUGCGGAAGGAUCAUUAACACGUAUCCAACGUUAAACAACCCCGUGAACCUUCAGCCUGCUCUCGUAGCCCACGCGGCAACAGCAAUCCCGGUAAAUCAUUGACGACCAGUUUUGAUUCGGGACGUGAGAAGUUACAGUUACGAUCGAGCGCAUGGCGUCCCAAGCAGAAUCCAGAGAAUGAAAGGUCACGGUUGCUAGAGGUCGAUCACCGACCGGCAGACAUGUCACAGGGUCUUUCCCCAUGCCCCUUACCUCACCCCAUUACUAAUGACUAGCUUAGCGGUCACGCGCUGAGUAAAAAAAAACCGAACAACUGUUAACAAUGGAUAUCUUGGUUCUC
rnacentral:misc_RNA from 1 species